rnacentral:rRNA from 1 species
GGAAUAUUGCACAAUGGGGGAAACCCUGAUGCAGCGACGCCGCGUGAAGGAAGAAGUAUUUCGGUAUGUAAACUUCUAUCAGCAGGGAAGAAAAUGACGGUACCUGACUAAGAAGCCCCGGCUAACUACGUGCCAGCAGCCGCGGUAAUACGUAGGGGGCAAGCGUUAUCCGGAUUUACUGGGUGUAAAGGGAGCGUAGACGGCAUAGCAAGUCUGAUGUGAAAGAUCGGGGCUCAACCCCGGGCCUGCAUUGGAAACUGUUAAGCUGGAGUACAGGAGAGGUAAGCGGAAUUCCUAGUGUAGCGGUGAAAUGCGUAGAUAUUAGGAGGAACACCAGUGGCGAAGGCGGCUUACUGGACUGUAACUGACGUUGAGGCUCGAAAGCGUGGGGAGCAAACA